rnacentral:misc_RNA from 1 species
GAUGAAGAACGUAGCGAAAUGCGAUAAGUAAUGUGAAUUGCAGAAUUCAAUGAAUCAUCGAAUCUUUGAACGCACAUUGCGCCCGCCAGUAUUCUGGCGGGCAUGCCUGUUCGAGCGUCAUUUCAACCAUCAAGCCCCAGGCUUGUGUUGGGGACCUGCGGCUGCCGCAGGCCCUGAAAACCAGUGGCGGGCUCGCUGUCACACCGGGCGUAGUAGAUUUUAUCUCGCUCAGGGCGUGCUGCGGGUUCCGGCCGUUAAAAAGCCUUUUUUACCCAAGGUUGACCUCGGAUCAGGUAGGAAGACCCGCUGAACUUAAGCAUAUCAAUAAGCGGAGGA